rnacentral:rRNA from 1 species
UACGUAGGGUGCGAGCGUUAAUCGGAAUUACUGGGCGUAAAGCGCACGUAGGCGGAUAUUUAAGUCGGGGGUGAAAUCCCGGGGCUCAACCCCGGAACUGCCUUCGAUACUGGGUAUCUUGAGUUCGGAAGAGGUGAGUGGAAUUGCGAGUGUAGAGGUGAAAUUCGUAGAUAUUCGCAGGAACACCAGUGGCGAAGGCGGCUCACUGGUCCGAUACUGACGCUGAGGUGCGAAAGCGUGGGGAGCAAACAGG